CAGCCGCCACGGUAAUACGUAGGGUGCGAGCGUUAAUCGGAAUUACUGGGCGUAAAGCGUGCGCAGGCGGUUGUGUAAGACAGGUGUGAAAUCCCCGGGCUUAACCUGGGAACUGCGCUUGUGACUGCACAGCUAGAGUAUGGCAGAGGGGGGUGGAAUUCCACGUGUAGCAGUGAAAUGCGUAGAGAUGUGGAGGAACACCGAUGGCGAAGGCAGCCCCCUGGGCCAAUACUGACGCUCAUGCACGAAAGCGUGGGGAGCAAACAGGAUUAGAUACCCCUGUAGUCCCUGUCUCUUAUAC
rnacentral:rRNA from 1 species